AUUGAACGCUGGCGGCAGGCCUAACACAUGGAAGUCGAACGGUAACAGGAAGAAGCUUGCUUCUUUGCUGACGAGUGGCGGACGGGUGAGUAAUGUCUGGGAAACUGCCUGGUGGAGGGGGAUAACUACUGGAAACGGUAGCUAAUACCGCAUAACGUCGCAAGACCAAAGAGGGGGACCUUCGGGCCUCUUGCCAUCGGAUGUGCCCAGAUGGGAGUAGCUAGUAGGUAGGGUAACGGCUCACCUAGGCGACGAUCCCUAGCUGGUCUGAGAGGAUGACCAGCCACACUGGAACUGAGACACGGUCCAGACUCCUACGGGAGGCAGCAGUGGGGAAUAUUGCACAAUGGGCGCAAGCCUGAUGCAGCCAUGCCGCGUGUAUGAAGAAGGCCUUCGGGUUGUAAAGUACUUUCAGCGGGGAGGAAGGGAGUAAAGUUAAUACCUUUGCUCAUUGACGUUACCCGCAGAAGAAGCACCGGCUAACUCCGUGCCAGCAGCCGCCGCAG
rnacentral:rRNA from 1 species